UGCGUUGGUGGUGCCUCCAGGGCAGGGAACAUGAAUUCCAUGAAGUGGUCUUGGAGGCGGAAAGGGAAGAAGUCGGAAACGGGAUCCAAGGGGCAGAGGAGAGUGAGGUUCUCGAACACUGUGGAGACGAUAUGCCCAUCGAAAUCCUGAGUGAAGACAGUUCUAGUGAUGAUGGAAUGCAGCAAGCGAAGAUGAUCACGAGCCUGCACAUCUACCUGGUAGCAACGUAGAUGGUUUGGAUACAUUAGUUGCAAAUGACAUCGUGGCGGCGAGGUCAAAGGAGGGUGGAAGAACCACCGUCAGCCAUGUCAGGAGUGCAGCACGCGGUGGAGUUGACGCUGCUCCGCACGGACAUGGGACUCACAAAGGCCCUGGGACCAGCCGAUAUCGGGAGUAGCCCAUGUGGGAGAAUUGAGCGUCGCGAGAGCGAACCUGGAUACACAUUUCAGUGGUUCAUCAGGACCAACAACGCCAGGACAAGCAGGUGGUUAGUGCCGGCGAGGAGCACCAAUGUGCAUCUGCUGAAUCUGUGGCUGAGCAGGUAGAUCUGCCGAUGUGGGGCUUGGUGCUCGAUCUCGGUGCCGGCAGGGAAAUGCUGCUCCCGGCGAGAUCACUGGUGGAGAGACGAAGCUGGAUGCACUGAUAGAGGCUGCUGCAAUCCGUGCCGGUGGGAGAGGCCAUGGCGACUCAGCUCCGGCAGCACUUGUAGAACCGGACUCCAGCCCGGGAGGGCCGGGACGACGAAGGUGACGACCUAGCCACCACAAUCAGGACAAGGAAUGAGCAGGAGUAUCUCCCUAGGGCGCGAGGAAGAAGAUGAGGAGGUCAUGACCGGCGAUCUGGUUUCUUGCGGCGCGUUGGUUGAAGAGAACGAGGAGAGGAGAAGAGCAGGAAGGAUCUUGAGGAGGGGGUGGUUGGUGAGUUGCAGUAAAUCAAGGGGCUGGUGUGGACGGCGGCCGUUAGUGGGAUGGGGGCUGAGCCGUGGCCCUUGGUUGCAGGCCCGUCUGAGCCGGUUACUCUGAGAUGA